GACGAACGCUGGCGGCGUGCUUAACACAUGCAAGUCGAACGGAAAGGCCCUGCUUUUGUGGGGUGCUCGAGUGGCGAACGGGUGAGUAACACGUGAGUAACCUGCCCUUGACUUUGGGAUAACUUCAGGAAACUGGGGCUAAUACCGGAUAGGAGCUCCUGCUGCAUGGUGGGGGUUGGAAAGUUUCGGCGGUUGGGGAUGGACUCGCGGCUUAUCAGCUUGUUGGUGGGGUAGUGGCUUACCAAGGCUUUGACGGGUAGCCGGCCUGAGAGGGUGAACGGCCACAUUGGGACUGAGAUACGGCCCAGACUCCUACGGGAGGCAGCAGUGGGGAAUAUUGCACAAUAGGCGGAAGCCUGAUGCAGCAACGCCGCGUGCGGGAUGACGGCCUUCGGGUUGUAAACCGCUGUCGCCUGUGACGAAGCGUGAGUGACGGUAAUGGGUAAAGAAGCAACGGCUAACUACGUG
rnacentral:rRNA from 1 species